AGUGAACGCUGGCGGUAGGCCUAACACAUGCAAGUCGAACGGCAGCACAGUAAGAGCUUGCUCUUACGGGUGGCGAGUGGCGGACGGGUGAGGAAUACAUCGGAAUCUACUUUUUCGUGGGGGAUAACGUAGGGAAACUUACGCUAAUACCGCAUACGACCUACGGGUGAAAGCAGGGGAUCUUCGGACCUUGCGCGAUUGAAUGAGCCGAUGUCGGAUUAGCUAGUUGGCGGGGUAAAGGCCCACCAAGGCGACGAUCCGUAGCUGGUCUGAGAGGAUGAUCAGCCACACUGGAACUGAGGCAGGUUCCAGACUCCUACGGGAGGCAACAGUGGUGAAUAUUGGACAAUGGGCGCAAGCCUGAUCCAGCCAUACCACGUCGGUGAAGAAGGCCUUCGGGUUGUAAAGCCCUUUUGUUGGGAGAAAAAAGCAGCAGGUUAAUACCCCGCUGUUCUGACGGUACCCAAAGAAUAAGCACCGGCUAACUUCGUG
rnacentral:rRNA from 1 species